UUUUGUAUACAUAGGCAGUGCAUAUGGUUUGACCCAAAAAGAUAAAAGAAAAGAGAAGUAUCAUCAUUAUGCAUUUGAAUGCUUUUACUUUAAUUUUGCAUGUGGUGUUCACGUGAUUUUGAUAACGGGAUGUGACCUUCUAAUGUAGAAAUUAAAGAGGAAAGCUUUUAUUUAUUUUGGUCUUCGUCACUUCUUCUCACUAGCCUGUGUGCUUGAGCUGAGCUCGUAAAAACAUAAUAGGAACAGAAUCCUAACAUAUUUUAGAUCUCCCACUAGAAUAGAGAAGAAAAGGAACACAAUCCUGGCUUCUCUAUCCAAAUCUCUUCCAUAACAUUCACUAGAAAAGAGUUUAAAAAGAAAAUGAAGAGUAAAUGAAAGAAUUUAGAUGUUCUUUUUCGAUUCUUCAUUCUUUUAGCUCCUAUAUGAUGACUGAAUUUUGGUGCUUUCCUUCAGCUGGUUAUGAUUUUCUUCUCAGCCUUUCAUUUUUAAAAUCAUUAUCUUUCAUCAGCAAUCUAAAAGGGUUUUCCACCUCCUUUUUUGGGAAUUUGGUGAACCCUAUUCCUAAAUCCUCUCUCCACCAAGGCUAAUAAUGAUCUUCCCACUUUUCACCCUUUGGUGACUCGAGCUUCCAGUUGCAAGUGCAAAACUGUAGGCGGACUGUUUCUGCCUAAUUGGAAGUUAUGCAAUAAUGCUGUCUCUGUGUCAGAUUCUCCUUCUACUUCAACCGAAGCUUAAGGCACAGUAAUCAAUUUCCUUCUAUCAAGUUCCUCGAGCUUUACUGUAUUUUAUUUGAUUUUUAACUUGGGCAAAAUUUUGUUCUGUCUUUAUUGAUGUGGAAACUGAAGGAUAUAGAAAGUGGAUGUCAUAUUGACUUGUUGUCUAAAUAUGCUUAUUGUCAUUUUGAUAGUGCAUGUUGUUUAUGUUGAACGUCAACUGUGCAUAGCUCGUGGGAGUUUUGCUUAGGAUGUUUAAGCUUCUAGUUCUUUGCAUGUUGGUUCAUUAGUUACCCCAGGGAUCCUUUGCCCUUUGAGGUUCUCCUUCUCAAUCACCUAUAGAUUUUAUUUCAACCUCCAAUUGUCCCAAAGAUUGAUAGUAUUAGAUUUCUUUCCCUUGCUGGUUUGAUGUAGAUACUGAUUAACUAACAGUUCAUGUGCAGCCACAAUUUCCCACAUGUGGUAUUGAACAGGAUGUUUAAAGACCUACUCAUGGUUCUUGGGAAAGAUGGAACAUCAUUUUAGUAGAGCUAACUUUAUAAUAUAGGGUUGAAUGCAAUUUUACAAAAUUUACUUCAAGAUUGAUGUGUGGAAUUGACUAGCAAAUCUUGAAGCCUUGAACAUCAUUAAUACCUAGGAAAGCAAGCAUAUUAGAAAUGCUAGUCUGCACUGCCAUGUGCCAUGUAGAUUUUUGGUUUGUCUAUUUUAGGCAAUCCAAAAACAGCUUCAAUAGCUUAUCUCUGCAUAUGAGGUGGCUUUUGGAAGUCCAUAUUCAUCGCUCUCUGGAAAUGAAGAUGAGAUCUACUUCUUAAAAAGGAACCCUUCCAUCACAAAUACCAAUUAGUGGAGGGUUUGUACUUCCAUAAUCUCAGGCUCCUAUUGAGAGCCAUAUUAGUGCACCUGAGAUCUUCUAGUUUUUCUUAAACAACUCACUUGUGAGUGAGAAGCAGUGAAAUACCAAAGAUAGGUUUCCACAAAAAAUUAUUCUAUUUUUCCUUACCCUGUUAGUUGCUGCUUGUCUCUAAUUUCAGAGUAUGGUAAGACAUUUGAGCUCAAGAUUCUUGGAAAUCACAACAAUCACUAGUCAUGCAGCUAAUUUUAUUUGUUAUCUUUGUUGCAAUGAAUUUUUAUGUACUCUGUCUCUGGUUGUUUAGUUUGUUAUAUAAGGGUUGAUGAUCCAAAAAAUAUAUAGAGGCUGAUGGAGUUUGAAAAAUGGAACAUCAAGAGCUAUUGCGAACUAGAUGAUUCUUAAGUUAAAAGAUAACAAUAUAACAUUAGCAUAGCAAAAUUUCAUAAUUGCCUUUUGUUUUGGUUUAGAUAGUUGUUUUUUCCUUUUUUGAGAUAUAUAUUAAAGG